rnacentral:misc_RNA from 1 species
AAAGUCGUAACAAGGUCUCCGUUGGUGAACCAGCGGAGGGAUCAUUACAGAGUGUAAAAACUCCCAAACCCACUGUGAACCUACCACUGUUGCUUCGGCGGACCCGCCCCGGGCGCCUCCCCUCAGGGGGUGGUGCCCCGGACCCAGGCGGCCGCCGGGGGCCCAAACCUCUGUAUUUUAUACGAGUAUUCUCUGAGUGUGAUUGACUAAAUCAAAUCAAAACUUUCAACAACGGAUCUCUUGGCUCUG